rnacentral:rRNA from 1 species
UACGUAGGGUCCGAGCGUUGUCCGGAAUUACUGGGCGUAAAGAGCUCGUAGGUGGUUUGUCGCGUUGUUCGUGAAAACUCACAGCUCAACUGUGGGCGUGCGGGCGAUACGGGCAGACUGGAGUACUGCAGGGGAGACUGGAAUUCCUGGUGUAGCGGUGGAAUGCGCAGAUAUCAGGAGGAACACCGAUGGCGAAGGCAGUUCUCUGGGCCGUAACUGACGCUGAGGAGCGAAAGCGUGGGGAGCGAACAGG